GGCCUGUAGCUUAUUAUUUCAGGUCUCGCCUGCCCACUGAGUAGUUAAAGGGCCGCGGUAUCUUGACCGUGCAAAGGUAGCAUAAUCACUAGUUUCUUAAUUGGAAGCUUGUAUGAACGGUAGUAUGAGAAAAUUUCUGUCUCUAGCUAAAUUUUUAUUGAAUUUUAUUUUUAAGUAAAAAAGCUUAAAUUUUAUUAAAAGACGAGAAGACCCUAUAGAAUUUUAUAUGAAAUUGUAUUGAUUUUUCUUUAGAAUUUUUUAAAUUUUAAUAUAAUUUUGUAUUUGAUUGGGGUGAUCGAAAAAUUAAAUUAACUUUUUUUUUAUUGAACCAUUGAUUUAUGAAAAAUUGAUCCACUUUUUGUGAUUAUAAGAUAAAAUUACCUUAGGGAUAACAGCGUAAUUUUCUUUGAGAGUUCUAAUCGAAAGGAAGGUUUGCGACCUCGAUGUUGGAUUAAAAUUAAUGUUUGGUGCAGAAGCUAAACAUAUUAGGUCUGUUCGACCUUUAAAAUUU
rnacentral:rRNA from 1 species